rnacentral:rRNA from 1 species
UACGUAGGGGGCGAGCGUUGUCCGGAAUUAUUGGGCGUAAAGAGCGUGUAGGCGGUUCGGUAAGUCUGCCGUGAAAACCUGGGGCUCAACUCAGAGACUGCUUCCGAAACUGCUGUGCUGGAGUGUGGGAGAGGCGCGUGGAAUUGCAGGUGUAGCAGUGAAAUGCGUAGAUAUCGUAAGGAAGACCAGUGGCGAAGGCGAAUCUCUGGACAGUUACUGACACUGAGGCACGAAGGCCAGGGGAGCAAACGGG